AUGCUUCCCCUCAGCCUGUUUCCUUUUAUGCUUACUCUGUGCCCGCCAGGCACUCGGCCAUGGAUGGCUGCCACCUGACCCCAGCUGUACUGCUUUCAUUAAUCCAAGGUGAGAGGCGCACACGGGGCGCUCUCUGAACCCUCCAGGUGAUUUUAAUGUGCAGCCAGGUUAGAAAACCUCUGCUUGGUCUUUGUGGCCUUCACGUCGUUGCUUAAGCUUUUGCAUCCUCCCAACUCCUGACCUUUACACGGGCUGCCCCUUGCACAGGAUCCUACCUACUUCUUCUGGCUGCCCGUUCACACUUCUAAGAGGAGGCUAUCAGGCUUUCAGAUGUUGCGAGGUAGGGAAGGCCGGUAAAUCAUCAUUUUGUGAGAAUAUGAGAGGAGGGAUGUUACCUGGAACAUGGGGAGAAGGGCCUUCCUUCGUGGAAAAUGGGCUUUGUCUUGCAAUUCUGGCCGGCUGUGGCUCCAGAUCACAGAAGGCUUUGUCUUCUCUAAGACAAAGGAAGAGCAGAAAUGAGAGACUGUGACAGACUUAGAAUCCAUUCCACCUGUGAACUUACGUGUCCUCUACAAAUUCUUUGCACAGCUUCCUUGCAACCUUCUCUCACCUCUGCACAUUACAGAAAUGGGUGUGAUCAUAGUACCUAUCUGUCUCAGAGGUCGGUGUGAGAUUUAACUGAGUGACUGCUUCUGAAGUCCGUACCCAGAUCUUAAGUGUUGAAAUCAGCACGUUAAUAUUUGGUUUAGAAGAUUAUGUAUAAGACAGUUCCAAAGUUAUCCUUUUUUCAUAAUGUCCUUGUCACUUUUUGGAAUAUGCAAGAAGCUACUUUAAAAAACUGAAAGAACAGAAGAUUUUAUGUUUAGAAGAACUUUCCAAGAUAGGAAGCAUCACAGGGGAUCGACCUCAGGACCUUGAGCUUCUGAGGCAGGCGACGGCACCACUGAGCUAAAUCCCUGGCCCAAUUUACCCAUUUUUAAGUGUCUGGGUCAAUGGCAUUUAGUACAUUCACAUUGUCCUGCGACCAUCAGCAUGUUUCAUCUCCAGAACACGGUCAUGUUCUCAAGCCAAAAGUCUGUAUCCAGCAAACCCUAACUCCCCAACCCCCGGCUCCUGGCAGCCACUGCCCUCUUUUCUAUCUCUGUGGAUUUGUCUGUUCUUAGGAUCUUCUAUGAGUAGUCUUCUACAAUUGUGUAUUUGUUGUUUCAUGACUGGCGUAUUUCACUUAGCAUAACGUUUUAAAAGUCCAUCUAUUUGGUAACGUGUCAGAACCCCUUUCCUAUUUUACACUAACUAAUAUCCUACGGUAUGUAUCUACCGCAUUCUGCCUGUCCAAUCAUUCUCUGACAAAUAUUUCGUUGUUUCCACGUUUCGGCUAUUACAAACAUAGAUAUACAGCUACCUCUUCUGAGUCUCUGCUGUCAUUUUUUUGGGUAUAUAUAAAUGUUGAUUCUUGUCAUUUUUAGUCUAGUUAACUAUAACAUUUAAUUGAGCACUUCUGUAUGUGUGGCAUGUCAAUUCAUGUGAAAAGUAUCAGUGAAAAAUAGGAGAGUCUGGCUUUGUAGAGAGCUCACAAAUUUGAUAAAGGAGAAUUAUCCAAAAUAAUAAUAUUUUGUGUUAUCAUUUUACUAUAUAUCCCAUAGUUUUCAUUAAAGAAUUUUAAGCAUAUUAUCUAGGAAGUAGACCCAAUGAUAGUGUUCAUUCUGAACUCUCAUUUUUCUAAUGUAACUAAAAAUUAAAAGCAGGAAGAUACUGAUACUGAAGAGUUAUU
ensembl:lncRNA